GCAAGUCGUACGAGAGUUUUUAAUUCAAGUGGCGGACGGGUGGGUAACACGUAAGAAUUUGCCUUUAGGAGGGGGACAACAAUUGGAAACGAUUGCUAAUACCCCAUAUGCUUUCGAGUGAAAUGGAUUUUUUCUGCCUGAAGAGAAGCUUGCGGCUGAUUAGCUUGUUGGUAGGGUAAUGGCCUACCAAGGCGACGAUCAGUAUCUGGUUUGAGAGGACGAUCAGACACACUGGAACUGAGACACGGUCCAGACUCCUACGGGAGGCAGCAGUAGGGAAUUUUCCGCAAUGGGCGAAAGCCUGACGGAGCAAUACCGCGUGAGGGAUGACUGCCCAUGGGUUGUAAACCUCUUUUUUCAGGGAGGAAUAAAUGACGUGUACCUGAAGAAUAAGCAUCGGCUAACUCCGUGCCAGCAGCCGCGGUAAGACGGAGGAUGCAAGUGUUAUCCGGAAUCACUGGGCGUAAAGCGUCUGUAGGUGGUCAAAUAAGUCUACUGUUAAAUCUUAAGGCUCAACCUUAAAAUCGCAGUGGAAACUAUUCGACUAGAGUAUAGUAGAGGUAAAGGGAAUUUCCAGUGGAGCGGUGAAAUGCGUAGAGAUUGGAAAGAACACCGAUGGCGAAGGCACUUUACUGGGCUAUUACUGACACUCAGAGACGAAAGCUAGGGUAGCAAAUGGGAUUAGAUACCCCAGUAGUCCUAGCCGUAAACGAUGGAUACUAGGUGUUGAACAGAUCGAACUGUGCAGUACUAAAGCUAACGCAUUAAGUAUCCCGCCUGGGAAGUAUGCACGCAAGUGUGAAACUCAAAGGAAUUGACGGGGGCCCGCACAAGCGGUGGAGCAUGUGGUUUAAUUCGAUGCAACGCGAAGAACCUUACCAGGGUUUGACAUGAUACGAAUUUUUUUGAAAAAAGAAAGUGCCUUUUG
rnacentral:rRNA from 1 species